rnacentral:rRNA from 1 species
UACGUAGGGUGCGAGCGUUGCCCGGAUUUAUUGGGCGUAAAGGGCGCGUAGGCGGCUCUGCACGUCCGUUGUGAAAUCGCCCGGCUCAACUGGGCGGGGUCAGCGGAUACGGCGGAGCUUGAGCAAGCUAGGGGGCAAUGGAAUUCCCGGUGUAGUGGUGAAAUGCGUAGAGAUCGGGAAGAAUCACCCGUGGCGAAGGCGGCUCACUGGGCUGACCUUGACGCUGAGGCGCGAAGGCGUGGGGAGCGAACGGGG